rnacentral:rRNA from 1 species
CUGCCUGGUAGUGGGGGACGAACGUUUCGAAAGGAACGCUAAUACCGCAUACGUCCUACGGGAGAAAGCAGGGACCUUCGGGCCUUGCACUAUCAGAUGAGCCUAGGUCGGAUUAGCUAGUUGGUGAGGUAAUGGCUCACCAAGGCGACGAUCCGUAACUGGUCUGAGAGGAUGAUCAGUCACACUGGAACUGAGACACGGUCCAGACUCCUACGGGAGGCAGCAGC